AUUUAAAAAAAGAACGCCUGAUCUUGGAAGCUAAGCAGGGUCGGGCCUAGUUAGUACUUGGAUGGAAGACCGCCUGGGAAUACCAGGUGCUGUAAGCC
ensembl:rRNA 5S_rRNA 5S ribosomal RNA